rnacentral:rRNA from 1 species
GGAAACAUGGCCGGCAUGCUAAAUACAUGCAAGUCGAGCGGACCGACGGGAGCUUGCUCCCUUAGGUCAGCGGCGGACGGGUGAGUAACACGUGGGUAACCUGCCUGUAAGACUGGGAUAACUCCGGGAAACCGGGGCUAAUACCGGAUGCUUGAUUGAACCGCAUGGUUCAAUCAUAAAAGGUGGCUUUUAGCUACCACUUACAGAUGGACCCGCGGCGCAUUAGCUAGUUGGUGAGGUAACGGCUCACCAAGGCGACGAUGCGUAGCCGACCUGAGAGGGUGAUCGGCCACACUGGGACUGAGACACGGCCCAGACUCCUACGGGAGGCAGCAGUAGGGAAUCUUCCGCAAUGGACGAAAGUCUGACGGAGCAACGCCGCGUGAGUGAUGAAGGUUUUCGGAUCGUAAAACUCUGUUGUUAGGGAAGAACAAGUACCGUUCGAAUAGGGCGGCACCUUGACGGUACCUAACCAGAAAGCCACGGCUAACUACGUGCCAGCAGCCGCGGUAAUACGUAGGUGGCAAGCGUUGUCCGGAAUUAUUGGGCGUAAAGCGCGCGCAGGCGGUUUCUUAAGUCUGAUGUGAAAGCCCCCGGCUCAACCGGGGAGGGUCAUUGGAAACUGGGGAACUUGAGUGCAGAAGAGGAGAGUGGGAAUUCCACGUGUAGCCGUGAAAUGCGUAGAGAUGUGCA